rnacentral:lncRNA from 1 species
UCAUUUCAGAAGGAACUGGCUGCUUCUCCUCUGCCUUUCAAUCUGUCAGCAGAGCCCCCUCCCACCCUCCCUUACCCCCGACCUCCUCCACUGGCAGGAAGUAAACAAAAACCAGCUGGAAUGGAAGCCCGGGGACAGUGUUUGCAGACUUCAGCCCUCUGAAGUACACAGGUAAUCCUUUGGACAGUCCACAAAGAAGUCUUGGCAGGUAAUUUCAAGAGAAAGACUGCGAAGGUUUCUCCCCUUUUGUAUCUGCUGAUCUUAUCUCUUGCAGAUUCAGCUCAAAAGCAAUCAAUUUAAAAACGACUGGAGCUGCCACCACUACCCGAAGGCUUAUGCCAGGGGCCCUACCAGCUACUUUGUAUUCAGUAUCUCAGAUUCUCAACCAGGUUGUUAAUCUUAACAACCCAGGGACAGUCUCUUGAAAAUACCCAUUAUAUAGAAAACUGUGACUCAGAGACAUUAAGUCACUGCUCCAAGGUCAAACAGCUCUUAAGUGGCAAACUGGAUAGACGAUCUCUAUUUCAUUUGCCAUCAGAUUCUGCUCUGUUUUUAUAACUCUGGUAGCUCUUACCUAAUCAGAAUUUUUUUUUUUUUAAGUUUCCUAAAGUCGUCACAAGGGUAGUUCAUCCUAAAGGGUGUAAACAAACAGACGCAAAACCAAGGCCACAGAAGAGCAUUCUCAAGUCCAAUUAUUUGCCUCCCUCCUCCGUCUUUCCCUGGUGACGUUAAACUAACGUACCCUUGUAGAGUACAUCUUCUCAAGCAGAUAGAUAAGAUAUUGAAGGGACAGAGGAGGGACACUGGAUGUGUUGGAGGAUCCCAGAGUUAUGUGCCCGAGGAGGACUCAGCAUGAGGGGCAAAGUCUGGACGAGAGUGUGUGAAGAAGCCUUACCACUGAAGAGUGAAUGCCCCCUGGGAAACCCUGCAAGGCUCAACCAGCGUCAGAGCUGCACUGACCUGUCUAAAGAGAAGGCACAGACCAGCAUCUGAGGAUGAUCCAGACACAACCCCGGAAGCCUAGUGCCCUGAACCACCACAUUUGGCUGGAGUCUUCCCAGGUGGCUCAGCAGUAAUGAAUCCACCUGCCAGUGCAGGAGACGCAGGUUCGAUCCCUGUGUCAGGAAGAUCCCCAGAAGGAAAUGGCAACCCACUCCAGUAUUCUUGCCUGGGAAAUCCCAUGGACAGAGGAGCGUGGCAGGCUGCAGUCCACGGGGUCACAGAGUCAGGCACGACUUAGCGACUAAACAACAACCACCACCUUCCAAAGCUUCAUUCUAAGUUCCAGGCUAUUGGUUCAACAAAGAGUCAUUCAUAGGUUUUUGUUGGGUGGAGAGAUGGUAGAAGUGCU